GCUGGCAGGGCAUACAUGGAACGUCAUAACCAAGCAUAGUAUGCAGAAACAUCUGUGCCGAAUACGGCCUGGAAGUCCCGAGGUCAAAAUGGGAGACGACCCCAAGGGUGGUGGAGAAUGACCGAGCUAAGAUCCUGUGGGACUUCCAGAUACAGACGGAUAAAACGGUGGUGGCUGACGAACCGGACAUAGUGGUGGUAGACAAACAGGAGAAGACGGCCGUAGUGAUCGAUGUAGCGGUUCCCAAUGACAGCAACAUCAGGAAGAAGGAACACGAGAAACUCCAGAAAUACCAAGGGCUCAGAGACGAGCUCGAGAAGAUGUGGAGGGUGAAGGUAACGGUGGUCCCCGUGGUAAUCGGAGCACUAUAUACAUACAUACAUACAUACAUACAUAUAUAUAUAUAUAUAUAUAUAUAUAUAUAUAUAUAUAUAUAUAUAUAUAUAUAUAUAUAUAUGUAUAUAUAUAUAUAGUUAAAUAUGAAUCGUGAUUGUUAUUGAUAAAAUGAACAAAUCCUUGGACACCACAGUAGCUGCUUUCACCCAGCCUGGCUAGACUAGUCUGUAGGUAAAAUUACACAGUAUUACACCAGGUGUUCACAUACACACAUUGUCAGCAGCAGAACAAGUCAAAUACAAUUACGGUAGUUUCUGGCAGCAGUGUGGAUAAAAAAAAAAAUCCUCCUGUGUCUCAAUGAAGGACAGCUGUGCACACUCGUUCUUCAAUGCAGGCAGCAGAACUCUUUUUUUCUGGGAUCUUCAUUAAAAGUAAUUGUAGUAGGCUUCAUGCAUUUGUGUUGCAUUCAUCUCUUCUCUUCUCUCUGUCUGUCUUUGUCUUUCUUUCUCUUCUUGAUUAUGUGGGUGUUGCCCAACAUGCAAACACAGAUGAAUGUCAUGCAUUAUUCAUUGGUUCAUGCCCGUCUCUCUCUUAUGCACACACACACACACACACACACACACACACACAUACACAAAGUGAGGCACACACAGGCGAGAUAUUCUCAGGGAAUAGCUCAUGAAGGCAGGAGCAUCAAGGUGAGCUCGGGAAAUCAUUGGACUUUACGCCCCAAAACACCAACGACAUUACACAACAACACACGCGUUUCAUCAUCAUCCCUCGCAGCGGUCAUCUCGAGGUGCUUUAGAUUGGCUUCUAUAUUCUGAAGAUCUAAAAGUUUCUGGAGAAGAGGACCCAAGCGUAGGAGGACGAGGAAGUGGACACAAAUGAACUUACGGAAAUACCACAUCAUACACAACUACUGGGAGCCUGGUUCAG
rnacentral:lncRNA from 1 species